GGGGAUAUAGCUCAGUGGCACAGCACCUGCCUGGUGAGCACAAGGUCCUGAGUUCAAUUCCCAGUACCA
rnacentral:tRNA from 1 species